UAGGGAAUAUUAGUAAUGGGCGAAAGCCUGAACUAGCAACGCCGCGUGUGCGAAGAAGGCCUUCGGGUUGUAAAGCACUUUUUGAGAGGAUGAGGAAGGACGGUACUCCCAGAAUAAGUCUCGGCUAACUACGUGCCAGCAGCCGCGGUAACACGUAGGAGGCGAACGUUAUCCGGAUUUACUGGGCGUAAAGCGCGUGUAGGUGGUUUGGUAAGUAGGGCGUGAAAGCUCCUGGCUCAACUGGGAGAGGCCGUUCUAAACUGCCGAACUAGAGGAUGGUAGAGGGAGGUGGAAUUCCGGGUGUAGCGGUGGAAUGCGCAGAUAUCCGGAGGAACACCAGUGGCGGAAGCGGCCUCCUGGACGAUUCCUGACACUCAGACGCGAAAGCUAGGGUAGCAAACGG
rnacentral:rRNA from 1 species